AACAGAGAAUUUUGUACUUACAAUGCCUAACAUGACCGGUGAAGCGAGUUUCUCAUCUAGCAACAGAGGUGAUGUGAAUAUGUUAUCUACAGGAACAGGGACAUAAAACCCUGCUCCACAGGCCCGAUCCAAGAGAAAAGGAAAUUUCCCAGGGACGCAAGUAUGGGAAUGGCGGUAGUGUUUUCUGCAGAAUCAGAAGCCGAAAUGGUUGCUCUGUCACCGAAGAUUCUGAUGGCCGCCAACAGAUUCGUGUGUGAAAUCUGCAACUAGGGCUUUCAGCGGGACCAAAACCUGCAACUCCACAGGCGAUGGUCACCAGUAAUCAAUCAGUAAUGACAAUGUUUAAAAUUGGCAACAGUAAGGAGCUGCGAGCAAUUCCUGACCAUAUCUCAGAGGAAGGCAACAAUUUUGUGAGGCAUUGCUUGCAGAGGAAUCCUGCAAACCGUCCCACAGCCGCACAACUCUUAGAGUAUCCAUUUGUGAAAAAUGCAGCACAAUUUGUAAGACCGGAUCCUGGCACAAAAGCCAUGGAAACAGAGGCAUUGUUCUCAUCUGCUAGUGGCAUUAGAACUUUGAGCCAAAACAAAUGAGGGUGAUCUGUGGCCCACCACUUUCGUCUUCAACCGCUUCAAUGGAAAGGACGAGCUCACUCUGCUGGGAGUUGCAGAAAUAAGGUCUACCUUGUAGCUGAGGGCGUUGAAAUUUCUACUUCUUAACAGAGAUGUAAGGGUUUAUGGACGUGGGAAUCAUUUGGGCGGAACUGUUUCUAGUUUCGACUAUUUCGUCAAUAAUAGAAGUUAAAAUGUUCUUUUAGAGGAGUGUCAGAGGUUUUAGAUGCACUAGGAACUGUCCGGGUUUGGAACUAUCAGAGAUCCUAGAUCAUUAGGAACUAUCAGAAGUUCUUAAUGAAUUAGAAAUUAGAAGAAAGUUUUAAAAUUUUAAUUGUAGGAUAUAUAUAAUAUAAUUAUAUAUAAAACAGAAAUUUGAAUGCAAUUG